rnacentral:rRNA from 1 species
GAGGGGGAUAACUACUGGAAACGGUAGCUAAUACCGCAUAACGUCGCAAGACCAAAGAGGGGGACCUUCGGGCCUCUUGCCAUCAGAUGUGCCCAGAUGGGAUUAGCUAGUAGGUGGGGUAACGGCUCACCUAGGCGACGAUCCCUAGCUGGUCUGAGAGGAUGACCAGCCACACUGGAACUGAGACACGGUCCAGACUCCUACGGGAGGCAGCAGUGGGGAAUAUUGCACAAUGGGCGCAAGCCUGAUGCAGCCAUGCCGCGUGUAUGAAGAAGGCCUUCGGGUUGUAAAGUACUUUCAGCGGGGAGGAAGGUGUUGUGGUUAAUAACCGCAGCAAUUGACGUUACCCGCAGAAGAAGCACCGGCUAACUCCGUGCCAGCAGCCGCGGUAAUACGGAGGGUGCAAGCGUUAAUCGGAAUUACUGGGCGUAAAGCGCACGCAGGCGGUCUGUCAAGUCGGAUGUGAAAUCCCCGGGCUCAACCUGGGAACUGCAUUCGAAACUGGCAGGCUGGAGUCUUGUAGAGGGGGGUAGAAUUCCAGGUGUAGCGGUGAAAUGCGUAGAGAUCUGGAGGAAUACCGGUGGCGAAGGCGGCCCCCUGGACAAAGACUGACGCUCAUGUGCGAAAGCGUGUGGAGCAAACAGGAUUAGAUACCCUGGUAGUCCACGCCGUAAACGAUGUCUAUUUGGAGGUUGUGCCCUUGAGGCGUGUCUUCCGGAGCUAACGCGUUAAAUCGACCGCCUGGGGAGUACGGCCGCAAGGUUAAAACUCAAAUGAAUUGACGGGGGCCCGCACAAGCGGUGGAGCAUGUGGUUUAAUUCGAUGCAACGCGAAGAACCUUACCUGGUCUUGACAUCCACAGAACUUUCCAGAGAUGGAUUGGUGCCUUCGGGAACUGUGAGACAGGUGCUGCAUGGCUGUCGUCAGCUCGUGUUGUGAAAUGUUGGGUUAAGUCCCGCAACGAGCGCAACCCUUAUCCUUUGUUGCCAGCGGUUAGGCCGGGAACUCAAAGGAGACUGCCAGUGAUAAACUGGAGGAAGGUGGGGAUGACGUCAAGUCAUCAUGGCCCUUACGACCAGGGCUACACACGUGCUACAAUGGCGCAUACAAAGAGAAGCGACCUCGCGAGAGCAAGCGGACCUCAUAAAGUGCGUCGUAGUCCGGAUUGGAGUCUGCAACUCGACUCCAUGAAGUCGGAAUCGCUAGUAAUCGUAGAUCAGAAUGCUACGGUGAAUACGUUCCCUGGGCCUUGUACACACCGCCCGUCACACCAUGGGAGUGGGUUGCAAAAGAAGUA